rnacentral:rRNA from 1 species
UACGUAGGGACCGAGCGUUGUCCGGAAUCAUUGGGCGUAAAGAGCGUGUAGGCGGCCACUUAAGUCCUGCGUGAAAUCUUGCGGCUCAACCGCAAGCGGUCGUGGGAAACUGGGUGGCUAGAGUGCGGGAGAGGAGAGUGGAAUUCCUGGUGUAGCGGUGGAAUGCGCAGAUAUCAGGAAGAACACCCGUGGCGAAGGCGGCUCUCUGGGCCUGUGCUGGCGCUGAGGAGCGAAAGCGUGGGGAGCGAACAGG